rnacentral:rRNA from 1 species
AGAGUUUGAUCCUGGCUCAGAUUGAACGCUGGCGGCAUGCCUUACACAUGCAAGUCGAACGGCAGCACGGGGGCAACCCUGGUGGCGAGUGGCGAACGGGUGAGUAAUACAUCGGAACGUGUCCUGUAGUGGGGGAUAGCCCGGCGAAAGCCGGAUUAAUACCGCAUACGCUCUACGGAGGAAAGGGGGGGAUCUCAGGACCUCCCGCUACAGGGGCGGCCGAUGGCAGAUUAGCUAGUUGGUGGGGUAAAGGCCUACCAAGGCGACGAUCUGUAGCUGGUCUGAGAGGACGACCAGCCACACUGGGACUGAGACACGGCCCAGACUCCUACGGGAGGCAGCAGUGGGGAAUUUUGGACAAUGGGCGAAAGCCUGAUCCAGCAAUGCCGCGUGUGUGAAGAAGGCCUUCGGGUUGUAAAGCCACUUUUGUCCGGAAAGAA